GACGAACGCUGGCGGCGUGCCUAACACAUGCAAGUCGAACGGGGAUAUGAUUUCGGUUAUAUCCCAGUGGCGGACGGGUGAGUAACGCGUGAGCAACCUGGCUCUUUGAGGGGGAUAACACUCGGAAACGAGUGCUAAUACCGCAUAAGACCACGCUUCGGCAUCGGAGAGAGGUCAAAGGAGAAAUCCGCAGAGAGAGGGGCUCGCGUCCCAUUAGAUAGAUGGCGGGGUAACGGCCCACCAUGUCGACGAUGGGUAGCCGAGCUGAGAGGCUGAUCGGCCACACUGGAACUGAGACACGGUCCAGACUCCUACGGGAGGCAGCAGUGGGGAAUAUUGGGCAAUGGGCGCAAGCCUGACCCAGCAACGCCGCGUGAGGGAAGAAGGCUUUCGGGUUGUAAACCUCUGUCCUUGGUGACGAAAAAAUGACGGUAGCCAAGGAGGAAGCCCGGCUAACUACGUG
rnacentral:rRNA from 1 species